ensembl:lncRNA
CAACAGUUUGGGGAAGAACCACAUACAGUACGAGUGUGAUGGUCAGGUGUACACAAAUUUUUGGCCAUGUAUGGUGUGUAUGGUAAUAAUCUUGGAGACCAUUGUCACUCCAAAAAAAUAAAAUUUCAAGUUUAAAGGCCGAGUAAAAAUUUCACAUCACCUAAAGCUCACUUCGUAAUGGAUGCAUACCCAUAAAGUUGAGAUUGAGGUGGAGAGAGUUUUGUCCAUUCCAGUGCUCGUCCACCAGGUCCAGCAGAGUCCUCAACACAGCGCACACAUCAGGACCACAGGGCUGGACAGCUGGACCAGACAAAGAGCUUCCCUGGGCUUCUGGAACGAUCAACUGAAGACAUACAGUAUCAAGCACAACUCAGCCGUUGUUUAGAAGUCUGCUCGGUCUCCUGUUUGUCUGGCUGUAAAAAGGAAUUCAUGCAGAGUCUAUGAACUGGUGAUCUUUCCUCUUGCCUCAUCUCGAAAAAUUGUAUGGCAGCAUCAGGUAGGUGGGUCGAUUCAUACAAGUCUAUAGAAUAACAAUAUGGAUACAUUUAUUCAGGUUAUAGGAAAACUCCACUCUAAAGCACAUUAAAUAAGAUCAGAUAAGAUAAUACUUUAUUAAUCCCCAGAUGGAGAAAUUAGGGAUAUGUUUAUAUUGAAAUAUUAAAAUGCAUUAAGAUGGUGCCGUAUUUUCUUGUUCCUGUGAGAAGUUAGAGGUGUGUCACGCUGACGUCACAGCAUUGCUAGUGCAGUUACAAUGGCAUUUAAUGGAAGGAAAAUUUAAACAAUUUCAAAUACAAGGGAUAACAAUAAGCUUCACUGUUGGCACCAAAAAAAACAAAGGAGUAAGAGUU